UACGAAGGGGGCUAGCGUUGUUCGGAAUUACUGGGCGUAAAGCGCGUGUAGGCUGCUCUGCAAGUCGGAUGUGAAAGCCCUGGGCUCAACCUAGGAAGUGCACUCGAAACUGCAGAGCUGGAGUCCUGGAGAGGAAGGCGGAAUUCUCGGUGUAGAGGUGAAAUUCGUAGAUAUCGAGAGGAACACCGGUGGCGAAGGCGGCCUUCUGGACAGUGACUGACGCUGAGACGCGAAAGCGUGGGGAGCAAACAGG
rnacentral:rRNA from 1 species